GACCCUGCAAUGGUUUGUCGGGAAGAGCUGAGCCUCUUGAUUGGUUGCGUUGCACCUGCAAUGCGUCAAGUAAUGAUGCUCGAAAAAUCCUGUUGUUGAAAGGUGAGUCAGCAACAAGUCUGUGAACAACAAGGUAGGAAGUUCUAUUUUAAAUGAGGCUUCACCACUAAUACAUUAUUAAAAGCAUGUUUGCAUAUGAAAAAUCCUACUGCGUCAGUUGGAACAUUGAAUAGGAACAUGGGUCCUGACCGCCCAGUUCCUUGACUUUGUGGGAGUUUUGCCUAAGAACAGAAUGCAAGGCUCAUAGUGUUCUACUGUAAGCAUUUUAAGGUUAAAUAAUUUGGAAUUUUUUAUUCCUUUUGCUCACUAUGAAAUAAGAGUGUAUUUUUAUUUUUAAAUUGUCCUGGUUGCCUUUUCACAGCUUUGCUGGUAUGAACACUUUUGACUGUAUAUUUUUCCCCAGAAGAAUUGUCUCUAAUAUUUUGCAAGAAUCUAAGCACAUGGUAGUUCCCAGCCAAGUGGAACAAAUAGAAUGAAACCUUUAUUGGAAAAUGAUAUGCCUGUGUAAUUAUAAUUAUAACAUUUAUGGGUGAAGCAAGGUUUGGUAAAAUAAAACAUAAAAGCAAGGUUAUGAGCUCAUUCCUUUUCUCACUUGGCCUUUUGGAAUAUGAGAGCAUCGCUUGGCAAUAUCACAUCUGAAAAACUUGGGUCUAAAACGAAGGAAUCUAAGGGUAUAAAAUAAUAGGGAAACUUGUUUUUAAGUGAUGUCUUUCUUCAAGAACAAUUGUGUACUAGUAAUGAUUUGUGUAGUAGAAAUUAUUCAUUUUAAUAAAAAUGUAAUUAUGCUGAA